ensembl:snRNA U6 U6 spliceosomal RNA
GUGCUCUCUUGGGCAGCACAUACAUAUACAAGAUGACCACAGUAAGAGAUUAGCAUGGCCCUUGCAUAUGAAUGACAAGCAAAUUCGUGAAGCAUUCCAUAUUUUA